UACUAUUUGGUUGAUCUUCAGGUGAGUGCGGAUGUGGAGUGCGCCACAAGGGGGCAGUGUACUGUGUUCCGCCAGGCGGGGGGAAUCUUUUUGUUGCAGCUUCCGUUCGCACUGUGAAGCGAAGCUGCAUCAAACCGUAACAAGCCGCUUCACAUCUCAUCAUUUUUCCUGUUAACAGAGGACCAUUCUUCUGCUGCUGGUCUCCCUCUCCUAGACCGGACCUGUAACAUACAUACCUAAAUGGCAGGAAGAACCAUCUUUUGAAAUAAGAAAAGAAGAGGUUAAAGAAAGACGGGUCAGUUGUCGUUUCACGUCGACUACAAAGGAUGAAAGAAGAAAAAAAAUCUUCAUCAUGAUAGAACGGAACAGAGGUUCUAUACUUCUUGGGAAAUCCAUAAGCAGGGAAUGGCCAAGGAUUCCCUGGACAAAAGAAGGAGGGCUGGCCUGAGGCAGGACUCAAUCAAUCACAAACCCACAUUAUGGAGGAAAAAAACAUCUAGCAACCCGAGAGGAACAAGACGUCAUUGCUAUCGCAGCAAGAAACUGCUGAACUGGCCUGAAGUCAAGGUGUGGUGAUGGACGCAGACCUCGCAUCAAGAAACACAAAAGAAAAUUACUAAGUCAGCCUUCUAUCACCUGAAGAACAUUUCCAGGAUUAAAGAACUAAUGUCCCAACAAGAUCUGGAGAAACUCAUCAAUGCAUUUAUCUUUAGUUGAAUUGAUUACAGCAACACAGGUCUGCCUAAGAGGUCAAUCAGACAGCUGAUCCAAAAUGCUGCUGCUUUCAUCUUCACUAAAACUAGGAAAAUAUAAAACAUCACCCCAGAUCUAAAGUCCAUACACUGUCUCUCUGUAGCUCAGAGAAUACACUUUGAUAUACUUCUAUUAGUUUGGAAAUCACUUAAUGGCUUAGCACCAAAAUACAUUAACGACCUGCUGUUGUUUCAACCUUAAAGACCUCUCAGGUUUUGUGGUUAUAGUUGGCUCUGCAGCCUCAGAAUCAGAACCAAAUAUGGAGUUUUUAUCCUUUAAUGUAGAACAAACUUCCAGAAAACUGCAAAACUGUUGAAACACAGAGUUGCUUUAAAUCAAGGCUAAGAACCCAUUUAGAUUGAGUUGAAUUUAAUUAAGAAUAGAUGGAGCAUUGACUAAGUUUUGUUUGAAUUGCAGCAUUUGAUUAAUUCUCAUUAUUUUGAUACUGCAAUGUCAUAAUCUAUGUUUGUUUAUUGUGUCUUGUUUUUAUCACAUAUGGCACUUUGAACGCAGCUCGUUCUUGAAAUGUGCUGUACAAAUAAACUUGACUUGAUUUGGAGAAGUGAGUCACUCCCAACAUGAAGAAAACAAUUCACUUUUUUCCAACCGACUGGAAUUUAAAAUGUUGUUAAGCUCUGUUACUGGAUUAAAAAAGCAGCUUAGUGCAGCACAGCACUACAGGGUUUGGUCAUUAUCCAGUACCAAAACCUCCUAUAUAAUAUGAAGUAGCUGAGGCCGACUCCGCACUCCUUUCCUCUCAGCUUGCGGUUUCACCCACUCUGAUUGAUUCUUUAUUGACCUAACGUGUCCUGUAGGCCCAUCACUCCGCAUCCUCCCCUCCCU